rnacentral:rRNA from 1 species
CCUACGGGUGGCAGCAGUGGGGAAUAUUGCGCAAUGGGGGCAACCCUGACGCAGCCAUGCCGCGUGAAUGAAGAAGGCCUUCGGGUUGUAAAGUUCUUUCGGUAGCGAGGUAGGCAUUUAGUUUAAUAGACUAGAUGAUUGACGUUAACUACAGAAGAAGCACCAGCUAACUCCGUGCCAGCAGCCGCGGUAAUACGGAGGGUGCGAGCGUUAAUCGGAAUAACUGGGCGUAAAGGGCACGCAGGCGGUGACUUAAGUGAGGUGUGAAAGCCCCGGGCUUAACCUGGGAAUUGCAUUUCAUACUGGGUCGCUAGAGUACUUUAGGGAGGGGUAGAAUUCCACGUGUAGCGGUGAAAUGCGUAGAGAUGUGGAGGAAUACCGAAGGCGAAGGCAGCCCCUUGGGAAUGUACUGACGCUCAUGUGCGAAAGCGUGGGGAGCAAACAGGAUUAGAUACCCCAGUAGUC